AACCAGGGGAUUAAGUUGUAUUAUUUGGUAAAAAGACAGUUAAAUAAAAUAAGGGGUUCAAUUGACUGUGUUAUUGAGAAGUAGAAUUCGAAAAUAAACAAAUAUACCUAACAAAACCUGUGUAUUGAAGCUGUGACAACUUUGAGGGAAACUAGGAUUAGAUACCCUAUUAUUCAUAGAAAUAAAUAAGGAUCAUUCUACCAGAGUACUAAGAAUAAAAAAUUUAAAACUCAAAGGGCUUGGCGGUGUUUUAGACUACUUAGGGGAACCUGUCUCAUAAUCGACAAUCCACGUUAGACCUAACCUUUUUUUGCAUUCAGUUUGUAUACCGUCGUCGCCAGGUAACUUUUAAGAUAUUAACAGUUAGCUAGCUAAAUAUUUAAAUUAAGACGUCAGAUCAAGGUGCAGCUAACAAGAAGGUGUGGAUGGGUUACAAUUACUAUACUUGUAAUAACGGAUAAAAGCCUUAAAGGUGAUUAAGAAGGAGGACUUAAAAGUAAAAUAAAUUAUAUAAACAUCUUGAAUAGAGCUCUGAAACGUGC
rnacentral:rRNA from 1 species